rnacentral:rRNA from 1 species
ACGGGUGAGUAAUACAUCGGAACGUAUCCUGGAGUGGGGGAUAGCCCGGCGAAAGCCGGAUUAAUACCGCAUACGCUCUGAGGAGGAAAGCGGGGGACCUUCGGGCCUCGCGCUCAAGGGGCGGCCGAUGGCGGAUUAGGUAGUUGGUGGGGUAAAGGCCUACCAAGCCGACGAUCCGUAGCUGGUCUGAGAGGACGACCAGCCACACUGGGACUGAGACACGGCCCAGACUCCUACGGGAGGCAGCAGUGGGGAAUUUUGGACAAUGGGGGCAACCCUGAUCCAGCAAUGCCGCGUGUGUGAAGAAGGCCUUCGGGUUGUAAAGUACUUUUGUCCGGAAAGAAAUCAUCGGGGCCAAUACCCCUGGUGGAUGACGGUACCGGAAGAAUAAGCACCGGCUAACUACGUGCCAGCAGCCGCGGUAAUACGUAGGGUGCGAGCGUUAAUCGGAAUUACUGGGCGUAAAGCGUGCGCAGGCGGUGCUGUAAGACCGAUGUGAAAUCCCCGGGCUUAACCUGGGAACUACAUUGGUGACUGCAGCGCUGGAGUAUGGCAGAGGGGGGUGGAAUUCCACGU